GACAGGUUGUCCGCAGACGCGGAUCGACGUCUCGUUCGACGCACAGAUGUUCUCGGCGUCUCCUUGAUGAAGAAGGAAGACCAUGCUGUUGCUGGACGAUGACUUCCGGUUCCUGCCCGCGGAACAACAUGGGCUGCCGCAAGGACGUUUCACGGCACCGACGGUGCGCGGUCGUGAAGUAGAUCCUUGACAGACGUGACCUAUUGAUCUCGCGGAUCGCUGAGCUACAUGCACUGUGUCCAUGGUGGGGUAAAAACAUUUGUUUUUUGAUAGCUGCUUUUAGUUUCGUUUUUGUUGUAAAUUUAUGUGUGCAACGUAUUUGAAGAUCGAGUGUUUUGUAGAUUGUUGGAUUGUAUUGGAACGCAUUGACAAUUGGUUUGGUUAUAUUUUUUGAAUGAAUGAUUUGGAAAAAGGAAUUUACCUCCCUCAAGAAUAACGGACACGCUGUAUGUAGUCAUGAGACAUGAUAGCGAACCGGUACAAAUUUAGAAAGGCCAAGUUACCAAAGUCGCAGAAACAGGCACAAUAUAUGAAGAUUCAUGCGAACUUAAAAUACUUGGCUUCAGCUUUCAAUUGUUGACUCUGAAACGAUGACUCAUUGGUAUCUCGAAGCAAUAAAAGUUAAGACAUUACAUAUCGUUUGUCGCAAUGAAUACAUUGCAGAUUGCACCACCGACUGCAAUAAAAAAAUAGGCACGAACAAGGAAAGAAAAGUUGUUACAAAAUCUUGUGAUAAAAUGGAUCUCGAUGAGGAUAUGUUCAUAAUUAAAUAAAUAGACAAAUUUUCACUAACGUGUUAUCAGUAGGACAAGGAGUACAAGGGGUGCAACACGGAAUUGGCGGUGAACGCAACACCCUCAAUGCUUCAACGUUCAAGCAAGAAACCCCUCUCAACAACGCUCGUUGUAUCGCGUUUUCGUAUUCAGCGCGUUCCUUCACAAUACGCUGGUUUUCUUUCUUUAGUCGUGUUAUUUCUGCUUCGAGCUGCUCGACACGAUCAUUUAUAAUUUAUAUUUCCGAAUACACACUUCGCAGAGAUAAAUAUUUUAGUGAACAUCCUCUGAAUCAUACCUCAAUUUCCCGUCGCAUUCUUUC